ensembl:lncRNA
CCUAGCCCUGUCCUGGACACUGAAGGCUGUCCUAUAGGCAAAACCAAACUGUCUCGAGGCAACCACUUCUACAAAGAACGGCAAGGCUAGCCUCAAGUUCACAAUGAAGCCAAGGAUGACCUGGAACUCAGGAUUUUCCAGCUUUGACCUCCUGAGUGCUAAAAUUAAAGAUCUGCAUCAUCACUCCCAGCAGAGAAAGCAUCUUUAAAGGUACAAAUGUGUAUGUGAGCGCAGUAGUGUGCUGAGGUUAGAGGUGCUGAAUCUUCCAGAUCUGGAGUUACAGACAACUGCAAGCCAUCUGAACCUGCAGGCUUUGCAAUGAGGCCAUGUCUCUCCUGGGCACAAGAAUCUUCCUACAGAGCUGCUAACGGCCAGAUGGGGCACUCUGACUGCACCCUUCAUGCCAGUCUCUCUACGUGAAAAGAUGAACACAGCUCAGGCAAUCCAUCAAACAGCAUCAAAAUGCCUUCUGCCUGCAGUGACCACAAAUGACAGCGUGUUUCAGAGCAGGAGGGGGAAGGGAGGUGACACCAAGACUCAUGGAACUCCAUUGCUCUUUAGUCUCUCAUCUUGGUCCCACAUGACCAAAUCAUCACACAAAUAUAAUUUUUAGGGCUGGAGGAAGGCUCUUGCAGAUGACCCAACACACACACACGGUGGCUCACAACUGCCUCUAACUCCAGCUCCAAGGAUCUGAUAGCUUCUUGUGAUCCUUGAGAGCUCCUACACACAAACAGUGCAAACAAGUACACUCAGGUACACACAAGCCCAUAUAAAUAAAUUGUUAGCCCCCAUAAGUGGCAAUUACGAUUCUAAUUUUCUUUUCUGUUCUCUGUGCUGGAGACUGAGCCCAAGGCCUCUCACAUACCAGGCAUCAGCUCUAGCCCUGAAUCACACAACCAGAUCAGAAAUUGCAAUUGUGUUGUGUUGUGUACUAGUCUUUCCUUUAGAUCACCAACCAGCUCCCAAACCAGGGCAUGGAGCUUAGAUUCUUUCAAAUUAACCUGUUACUCUUUAUCUACCUUUUGCCCGGGGGUGGUGGUGGUGGUGUUCACUCUUUUUGUUUCUUCUGUAUAUCUUUUUUUUGUUUGUUUUGUUUUUUUUGAGACAGGGUUUCCCUGUGGCUUUGGAGGCUGUCCUGGAACUAGCUCUUGUAAACCUGGCUAGUCUCGAACUCACAGAGAUCCGCCUGCCUCUGCCUCCGGAGUGCUGGGAUUAAAGGCAUGUGCCACCAACACCGGGCCACAUCUUUACAUUGUUAAUAAAGGCAGCAGAAACACAUGGAACACUCCUUUCUUUACACACAAUAAAGUAACAUUCCACAACAUAAACAAAUGUAACGGAUUUGCCUAGUUAAAAUAAUAUUCUACAACUGUGUUGUCUGCCUGUUUAUUGAGACAUGUGUCUCUGUGCAGCCUCAGUUGGCCUGGAACACACAAUGUAGGUCAUGCUGGUCUGGAACCUGUAGCACUUUUCCCGCCUCUGCCUGCUGAGUGUGGAAUUAGGUCACCACAUGUAGUAAGACCUCCAAAUGUCUUAAUACUUGAAC